GAUGAAGAACGCAGCGAAAUGCGAUACGUAAUGUGAAUUGCAGAAUUCAGUGAAUCAUCGAGUCUUUGAACGCUCAUUGCGCCCCCUGGUAUUCCGGGGGGCAUGCCUGUCCGAGCGUCAUUGCUGCCCUCAGGCACGGCUUGUGUGUUGGGCCUCCGUCCUCCUCCCGGGGGACGGGCCCGAAAGGCAGCGGCGGCACCGCGUCCGGUCCUCGAGCGUAUGGGGCUUCGUCACCCGCUCUUGUAGGCCCGGCCGGCGCUUGCCGACACAUCAAUCUUUUUUCCAGGUUGACCUCGGAUCAGGUAGGGAUACCCGCUGAACUUAAGCAUAUCAAUAAGCGGAGGA
rnacentral:misc_RNA from 1 species